GUGGCAGAGGCGGAGCAGGUCCGAGGCUCAGCUCUGUCUGGAUGGCACACAGCGGCUGGACCCUGACAGCUGGUCUCUGGUACUCUGGGCUGGAGGUGACGGUGCUGUAGGCUGGCGGCCCGGCCGUGGUUUGCCUCUGGAGGAGCUGCAGGAUGGCCUGGAUGUCUGCAGUCAUCUGGGACUCCAGUCUGAUGGACAGAAAAACGUCAAAGCCCCAACCAGAGUUAUUGCUCUGCAGCUGUAUGCCUCCGCCAACCACUGCAAUUUCAGUCUACAUAUAUUUUUUUCUCCAGAAUCACACGAGGCCACAAUGACCUUUAACCUUUGACCACUGGAUUCUUAUCAGUUGAUCUUUAGGUCCAAGUGAACAUUUAAACCAAAUUUGACAGACAACCUGAAAAACACAAUGCCUCUGGCCACUGGGGGUCACCAACGCGAAGGAAUAAAAAAUGAACAAAAACUUUUUUUUGAAGAAGGUUUCUUUAAUUUGACAUUGAUGAGGAAUUAAAUCUUAAUGGAACUUUAAUGUGAUAUUAAAAAGCCCAAGUUCAGUAAAUGUACUUAGUGGUAUCAUGCCUGAAGAUCAAGUACAAUAUAUAUGUAUACAAUAUGAUAUAGUGUAAUAUAUAGAAUGACUUUGCAUCAUCCUACUUAAGAUUUAAUGCUUAAAAGUACUAGUGUUGUUUAAUUUGAUUUAUAAAAACAUCUUAAAACUGACAAAUUACUCAUUCAAAAUUUAAAUAUAUAAUACUAAUAACAACAUAUACAAAGUCCUCCCCCACGAGUCUACCUGACUUGGUAUAUUCCAAGCCCCCGCCGCCUUCUCCAUAUAUCCCAUUGGACUCCUCCACUUCCGGUUUGCCAGUCAGUACUUCCGCAUGGAGCCGGAGCUGCAGGAUCCGGAGCCAUAGAUCCAUCAUGAGGCAGCAGUUACAGAGAGGAGACCCCCCCCCCCCCACGGAGCCACCAGGAGCCGGAGCUGCUGCCGGGGGCCACCAUGAGCCAGAGAUGGAGGUAGAGGGAGCCAGAGCCGCUGGAGCCGCCAGGAGCCGGAGCCCAUGGACCCAUCAUUUGGUGACUACUGCUUAAAAUAUCAACACAUUUAUUGGAUCUUCUGCGUGUUUGACGUGUCGCCGCAGCUUUUUCAUUGUUAACAUGUUAAUAGUGGAAACUGCUGUGACUCAUCAAACAAUCAGAAGAUCUAAUCAAUGGGUUGCUA